GACGAACGCUGGCGGCGUGCUUAACACAUGCCAGUCGAACGGAAAGGCCCUGCUUUUGUGGGGUGCUCGAGUGGCGAACGGGUGAGUAACACGUGAGUAACCUGCCCUUGACUUUGGGAUAACUUCAGGAAACUGGGGCUAAUACCGGAUAGGAGCUCCUGCUGCAUGGUGGGGGUUGGAAAGUUUCGGCGGUUGGGGAUGGACUCGCGGCUUAUCAGCUUGUUGGUGGGGUAGUGGCUUACCAAGGCUUUGACGGGUAGCCGGCCUGAGAGGGUGACCGGCCACAUUGGGACUGCGGUACGGCGCAGACGCCUACGGGAGGCAGCGGGGGGGAAUAUUGCACAAUGGGCGGAAGUCUGAGGCAGCAACGCCGCGUGCGGGAUGACGGCCUUCGGGUGGUAAACCGCUUUCGCCUGUGACGAAGCGUGAGUGACGGUAAUGGGUAAAGAAGCACCGGCUAACUACGUG
rnacentral:rRNA from 1 species